rnacentral:rRNA from 1 species
UAGGGAAUCUUCCGCAAUGGACGCAAGUCUGACGGAGCAACGCCGCGUGAGUGAAGAAGGUUUUCGGAUCGUAAAACUCUGUUGUAAGAGAAGAACAAAUUGUAGAGUAACUGCUACAGUCUUGACGGUACCUAACCAGAAAGCCACGGCUAACUACGUGCCAGCAGCCGCGGUAAUACGUAGGUGGCAAGCGUUGUCCGGAAUUAUUGGGCGUAAAGCGCGCGCAGGUGGUUUAGAAAGUCUGAUGUGAAAGCCCACGGCUCAACCGUGGAGGGUCAUUGGAAACUAAUAAACUUGAGUGCAGGAGAGAAAAGUGGAAUUCCUAGUGUAGCGGUGAAAUGCGUAGAGAUUAGGAGGAACACCGGUGGCGAAAGCGGCUUUUUGGCCUGCAACUGACACUGAGGCGCGAAAGCGUGGGGAGCAAACAGG